GACUUCAACUGAAAAAGUAAUCUACAACAAAGUUGUAUAAUCCAUCUAGAUCUACAACUUUUAUUUAGUCAUUUGUUCAUUCGAUAAAGUGAUUUUAACAUUGUUCACAAAAUUUACAUAUCUCUUAUAUGGUUUCAUAAACUAUAAGAGAGAUAUGUAUAUUUUGUGAACAAUAUUACUAUCACUUUGUCGGAUGAAGAAAUAACAAAAAUAAAAGUUAUAGAUAUUGAUGAGUUGUACAACUUUGUUGUUGAUGACUUUUUUAGUUGAAAUC
rnacentral:pre_miRNA from 1 species